rnacentral:rRNA from 1 species
UACAGAGGUCUCAAGCGUUGUUCGGAUUCAUUGGGCGUAAAGGGUGCGUAGGUGGCGGGGUAAGUCUGGUGUGAAAUCCUGGGGCUCAACCCCGGAACUGCACUGGAUACUGCUUUGCUAGAGUACUGGAGAGGGAACUGGAAUUUACGGUGUAGCAGUGAAAUGCGUAGAUAUCGUAAGGAAGACCAGUGGCGAAGGCGAGUUCCUGGACAGUUACUGACACUGAGGCACGAAGGCCAGGGGAGCAAACAGG